UCGAAGAGAAGGAUGCUAGACGA
rnacentral:siRNA from 1 species